rnacentral:lncRNA from 1 species
GCCGAUUCGAUUCUCUGAUUGCAGAGGGAGCAAGCAUCCUGAUGAGGCCAGCCCCUAAAUCUCAAUCUAUCUGCCGUCCACAGCCGGUUCCGGAGCAACAGCCACAAGAAGAACCUUAUUUUUCCUUCAACUCUAGCUCUCCAUACCUCCUUCAGAUGAGGUUGAGGAAUUCUGGUUAUGAAUUGGGCCUCAUACGCAGAUUUUGCAGAGUAUACCAGGUCCUUCGACAUAUUCCAUGAGUAGAAUCUGGCAGAUUUGUGAGGUGAACAGCCUGCAAUUUGUCCCAUAAUUUGACAAAAGUCUCGAUUAGAUCUUCAGUGUUUAUUCUCUGCAGCCCCAUCAUCCAUUUUCCUCUUGUCCAUUGCCUGACUAACAGUGAGGUUCUUUCUUCUGGCAAGCUUGAACAGACCGGGCGCAAAUUCUCCAGGAGCCUCCCCAUCCAGCCAUC